CUCUCUCUCUCUCUCUCUCUCGUUUCCUUCUUUUCUCUCGAAGCCUUCUAUCUCUCUGUCAUUCUCUCUUUAUUUCUUUCUCAUUUCACAUUGCUCUCUCCUUUCCUCCGACGGUUUCUGUGCAUUGAAUCUGGACCUCGCUCGAAUCCAGAUCAUGCUCUGUCUCAUAUUGCCGACAACCUCAUUCUCGCUGCUGUUCACUGACUGCAAUUCAACCCAUCCGCAUGCCUUUGGCUGAGAUCCUAUCAUUAUACCACAAUCGCGUUUAUUUUAGACAGAGGACAAGUCAGCCCCAGCUUUCUCAACAGCACCUCCAGAACCUAGUGAUCAAGCCCGCCUAGCUAAAAUUGAGGCGAAAUGUACCACAUUGAUGUAAAGUUGGAUGUCAUCCUCUCUCACUUGGAGAUGCCCAUACUCCAGCCACCAACAGCCUGAGUUUUAGGCAACUUACUCCUCAGGCAAGUUCUUUUUACUCACUUUUUGCUAAUUUGCUUAUAAACUUCCCCCGUUACUUGAAUUUUUUCCACAUUGAGGACAAUGUGAGAAGUAAGUAUAGGGGGGGAGAAGUGACUGGAAUAGAAGUAUUUUUUGUUUUUGUUGUGUUGGUUGAUAUAUAUAUUUUUCUGCUAUGUUCUGCAUAUUUCUCUUCUGUUAUGCUGAUUCUGCAUAAUUUUUUCUGCUGAGUGCUAGAGGCUUGCCUAAGCCCAUACUCUUGCCCUGUUUUUUCUAUUUCUCAGCAAUUUCUUAGCACCUGCACUUGCUGAUUUGUUUUUUUUUUUAAUUAUCAUAUUUUAAUUUCUCUGUUUUCGAGGUUUAUUAUUUUUAAAAAAUAUAUUAGUUCCUACUUGCCAUAAGAAGUUUAAUAUGUGCUUAUCACAUAUUCAAGUUUUUAUACCAUUUGUAUACUAGCCUAAAUAGAAUAAAUUCAUCCUUGUUCAUUUUGUUAGUCUUGUUUUUAAGGCUUAUUUUGAAAACUUAUGAAGUAUGGCCCUUAUUUUAAUAGUUAAUAAUGAAUGCAUAUUCUUUUAAAUGAGUUGCUGCCCUUUGUUAAGAAUGACUUUAAGGACAUUGUCUAGACCAUAUAUUUAUGUUAAGGGGGUUCUGCAUCAAUAGCAAGAAAAGAAAAGAAAAAGCAAAAAUCAGAAAUUAAUGCACUCUUAUGACCCACUCCUCUAGUUAUUUGGUUACUUGGUUAUCAACCCGAUGGCCUAAGUAGUGUAGUACUUGGUGACCCAUUAAGAUGAUUCUAUAUAGAAAAAUCAGUGUUUGGGAGAGUAUCACCUCUUUUGGACCGUUUAAAAACUCGCCUCAUGCCUUUAGUUAGGUGAUCAUAAGUGGAACUAGUAGCCAUCUGAACUGAAUAACCUGGGGCAAGUGGCUCAGUAAGCAUUUAUUUCACGUUCACUUUAUCGGUUUCAGGCAAGAUAUAGUAGGAAGUGUAAUAAGACUUAUCAAAGUCUUUAAAUUUUGUUGGUCUAGUCAAGAGUUUUUAAGAGUUUAUUCUUUCAAAAUGCCAGUUUAAUAUUAUAUGGUAUUCUAAUAUUUUGUGUGCUUGAAGUUGAAUUGAGGAUCAACUUUAUGUUUUGAGAAACAAGCUUUAAACAUGAAAUUUGUUAAAGUGAACUUUGGUGAAAUUAAGCUAUUUCUGCUAUUAUCCUAUUGCACGACAAUUUGGUUUGUUUUGGACAACUUAAGUUUUAAAUGGUUGAGGACAGGGCUGUAUUUUAUUGUUAUUUUGAAUUUCUAUGCUUGAGGACAAACAAAGGUGCAAGUGUGGAGGAAUCUGAUAAGUUGCAAAAUUCAUCACUUUUUCCAUAUUAAAUUCCAUGAUUUUGCUAUAAUCUUGAUGAAAACAAUUGAUUUUUACUUGAAAUUUAAUUUUGGACAGGUUUAUGAGCAAAAAUUGAGAAAAGGAACAAAAAGAGGCUGAAUUAGAAGUUUUUCUAACUGGAGGGUACAACCUUGCCCAAGGCUGUAGCCCAAGGCGAUGGAAAACUCCAGAAUUCUAAUUUUCCAACUGUAAUUUCGAUUUUUCCAACUGUACAGAGUAGGGCUGAGCAGUAUUCGGUUCGAACCGAAAAACCGACUGAACCGAAUUAAUUUCAAAAUUCAGUUCGGUUUUUUAUUCAA